GAGUAGCGCGCUUUCAAAGCGCUCUGUUCUUGUUUGCGACAUGGCUUCCAGCGGUGUCGGUAGGCGUCCUUUUUUCUUCUUUUUCUCUUGCAUCCCGUCCACUUGAAGGUUCAUUUGCCUUCACUGAUUUCUUCGCGUAUCGUGCCUGUCUUCUUCAGUCCAGCGUUGCCUUGUUCGUGUACCCCGACGUCUGGUUCUUGCAGAGGCGGUGAAGCAGCUUUCCACGUCUCCUGCGGUAUAUUCUACCAGUUGGUCCGAUGGCUGCUUCUUAAGCACUGUAGAAAUAACCGUGCGUUUGUGCUGCCACGAAGGUUGUUCGCGAGUUCUUAAAGCAUCUGGGAGCCACACGUCCGGCGUCCAAGACGCAGAGGAGAAGGCUGCAGGAUGCAUGAUUCGCACGCUUAGGAUUGAGCAUGGCGUUCGCUUUGACGACAUAAAUCGUUCUCGCUUCAACAAGUGUCGGCGAAACCUUUGUCAUGAGACGGUGGUGUAUUGACGCUAUGCUCCGUGUCCACCGCGAAGCUUUACGGAAAUCACCGCUUCUAGAGAAGGGUUGGGCUCGAACACUUGAUAGAUUGCAGUCUAUCAAGAAUAGGUGCGACGGCAUGUGCUUUUCCGGGACGAAUGAGUACACUGCUUCUGUGAGCUCGUCAGAGCGACCAUGCCCGGCGCGUGAUGCCCGUGAGAUAGUUUCAUGGAUUCAGACAACGCUGGACGAAGAAACUUCAAAUCUAGCCUCCGAAAUGUUGGAGCAAAACAGCGGCGAGGAGACGGAUGCAUGAUGCUUAGGUUGCGCCGCUAUAUGAUUGUAAUGCCUGCCGUUUUUUUUCCCUUAUUCUUUUUUAUUUGGUCGUAGUUUUCGCGUAUUCAUCUUUCUGUUUGUUUCGUACGCAAGUGCUGCGUCGCGGAGCUAUGAAUCUGCAUCAAACGUGAGGCAUGCAUGUUCCGUUAUGUCCCACCGUGGGGCUCAACUAGGCAUGUUUAGCGU
rnacentral:lncRNA from 1 species